rnacentral:ncRNA from 1 species
UGCAGGUAAGCGCGGAAGUGGUAGAGGCCGCCUGUAGUGGGUGGCAGCCCCUUUGGGGUGGGAACCUCGGUUUCCGGGACCUGUUUUUCA